rnacentral:rRNA from 1 species
AACGAACGCUGGCGGCAGGCUUAACACAUGCAAGUCGAACGCCCCGCAAGGGGAGUGGCAGACGGGUGAGUAACGCGUGGGAACGUACCUUUCAGUUCGGAAUAACUCAGGGAAACUUGUGCUAAUACCGGAUACGCCCGCAAGGGGAAAGAUUUAUCGCUGAAAGAUCGGCCCGCGUUGGAUUAGCUAGUUGGUGGGGUAAAGGCCUACCAAGGCGACGAUCCAUAGCUGGUCUGAGAGGAUGAUCAGCCACACUGGGACUGAGACACGGCCCAGACUCCUACGGGAGGCAGCAGUGGGGAAUUUUGGACAAUGGACGAAAGUCUGAUCCAGCAAUGCCGCGUGCAGGACGAAGGCCUUCGGGUUGUAAACUGCUUUUGUACAGAACGAAAAAGUACUUUAAUAACACUAGAGGCUCAUGACGGUACUGUAAGAAUAAGCACCGGCUAACUACGUG